rnacentral:rRNA from 1 species
CCUACGGGGGGCUGCAGUGAGGAAUAUUGGUCAAUGGUCGGGAGACUGAACCAGCCAAGCCGCGUGAGGGAGGAAGGUACAGAGUAUCGUAAACCUCUUUUGUCAGGGAACAAAGGCGGGGACGUGUCCCCGGAUGAGUGUACCUGAAGAAAAAGCAUCGGCUAACUCCGUGCCAGCAGCCGCGGUAAUACGGAGGAUGCGAGCGUUAUCCGGAUUUAUUGGGUUUAAAGGGUGCGCAGGCGGUCUGUUAAGUCAGCGGUAAAAGCCCGGGGCUCAACCCCGGCGAGCCGUUGAAACUGGCAGUCUCGAGUUGGAGAGAGGUAUGCGGAAUGCGCGGUGUAGCGGUGAAAUGCAUAGAUAUCGCGCAGAACUCCGAUUGCGAAGGCAGCAUGCCGGCUCCACACUGACGCUGAGGCACGAAAGCGUGGGUAUCGAACAGGAUUAGAUACCCUAGUAGUC